rnacentral:lncRNA from 1 species
GCUGGCUGGGCACAGGGACGGGGACAGCUGCGGCCGGCUGGGACGUCGUCCUCCGUGUGCUUGUGCUCCGCCUGUCUGCAGGGCUCUCCAGGCUUUCCUUAAGAUCAUUCUCAUAAUUUUUUAAAAGAGCAAAUCUGUUUAGAAUUUAUAUACAGUGUUUUAUGGCCUUCAUUGUUAAGCGCUUUGGAAAUAGGAAACAGAAACAGUGGAACAGAGUAGCAGGAGGCAGAUAAGUGGCUUGACGGCCCCAGAGUUAGGUGACUCCUGCUGGUGAGGAGGGAUCCGGCAGUGUAGCUGGUUUACUGGUGACAAUUGUCUGUAUUUUUUUAAGUUUUAGUUUUUCUAUAUCAAGUAUAUAUUCACUUUGUUACUAAAAACUGGGAUGGGUAAGCCCCUGAGCGGGACGGGGAUCUCCCACCUCCGUAAACGGUCUGUCCCGACACCAGUGCGUGUGUGCCUUGACUCGGCCUGCUUACUGCCCGGAAGUGGGAAACCUUGAAACUAGGGCCGUCCGGUGCUGGUCACAGUGCAGUCACUUGGCAGUGUUGCUUCGAGCAUUUCCUGAGCGUUGAAGUGCACCUCCUGGGAAUCCUAAACAUCCAUGAAUUUAGGGUCUUGGUGUGGAAGGGCUGCUGUCUGCAUCAGGGCCCUUAAGCUGUGAUGCGCCAAAGCGGGGUCAGGUCCCUAGAGCCCAGGAGCCUAGAGGCAGGUGGGAAGAUGGUGGCUUCACUGGGCGCACAGGAGGCUGGAAGGACGAGCAGUGUUGCGAGGUGACGGUGGGGCUGGACAGCUGGGGGGGGGGGGGGACCCAGCGUAAUAGCUGCCCUCAAUGAGAACUUCCUGAGGGUGCGUCAGCUCCGGGUCAUUUUGGUUCUUUCUCAUUUAUUCCUGACAUCGGACCUGUGAGGAGGGUAACGGUAUGUUCACCUCUGUUAAAUCCACAGGGAAACAGGCCAGUGUGGAGGCAGGAUGAGACUAGCCAGGGGCUGGGGGGGGCAGGGGGGCCCCGGGGGCCCUGGUGGGAGUGGGAAUGCGACUGGGUGGUGCUUUGGGGUUAGAGGGUUUGGAUUUGGCCCAGGAGCAGUGGGGUGAUGUGGACAGUAUCUGAGGAGCAGACCUGGUGUGGUUCCAGUGGCGGCGUUUAAGGGCCGGGCAGGGAGAGCGGGCCCUGGUUCAGGGAGCAGGAGGAGCGUGGAGGAGAAUUUGGGUGCUUCCUGCAGCACAGGCCUUCAUUCUUAUUUUUAAUUUCUGCAGCUUCUUAAGUGUGCUGUCCCCUCCAGGGGGUGUGGCCCUCUUCUAGUGGUGGCUUCUGUUUCCCUUUACCAAAACCCCGCUUCCUCUGCUUUGUUCCCUCAGGCCUUUUAUUUUUCAGGCAGCUUAUUCUUGGAGAGGUUUGUGCUAUAUUCUGCAGGCACGCCACAUGCCUUUUCUGCAGAAACUUCACCUGCUGGGGCGUCUGCAGGUGGAAGGACUGUGCUGGGCGGCAGUCUGAGCCCAGACACCAGCUUUCCAGGUGGGCCGGCUCCUGACUACCUGGUGUUGGAGAUUAAGGUAACUUUGGCUCAGGUCACCAGUCGGAAAGUGAGACACGUGGACAAGGAGAAAUCUCGAUAAGGCUCUUUACUUCUGCAGAAGGGUACGGGUACUCCAAAGAGUGCGAGCACCCAACAAAGGACCCUCCCCUAUUGAUGCCUAACGCAGGUGGUGUACCUGUCCCCUUCCCGUGGGUCGGUGGAGGUCCCGUCGUGGCGCAGUGGUUAGCGAAUCUGACUAGGAGCCGUAAGGUUGCGGGUUCGGUCCCUGCCCUUGCUCAGUGGGUUAACGAUCUGGCGUUGCCGUGAGCUGUGGUGUAGGUUGCAGACGCAGCUCGGAUCCCGAGUUGCUGUGGCUCUGGCAUAGGCCGGUGGCUACAGCUCUGAUGAGACCCCUAGCCUG